rnacentral:rRNA from 1 species
GACGAACGCUGGCGGCGUGCUUAACACAUGCAAGUCGAACGGAAAGGCCUCUUUCGGGUGGUACUCGAGUGGCGAACGGGUGAGUAACACGUGAGUAACCUGCCCUUGACUUUGUGAUAACUUCAGGAAACUGGGGCUAAUACCGGAUAGGAGCGCCUGCUGCAUGGUGGGGGUUGGAAAGUUUCGGCGGUUGGGGAGGGACUCGCGGUUUAUCAGCUUGUUGGGGGGGUAGUGGCUUACCAAGGCGUUUUCGGGUAUCCGGCCUGGGAGGGUGGCCGGCCACAUUGGGACUGAGAUACGGCCCAGACUCCUACGGGAGGCAGCAGUGGGGAAUAUUGCACAAUGGGUGGAAGCCUGAUGCAGCAACGCCGUGGGCGGGAUGACGGCCUUCGGGUUGGAAACCGCUUUCGCUCAUGACGAAGCUUUGUGUGACGGUAGUGGGUAAAGAAGCACCGGCUAACUACGUG